UGGCGGACGGGUGAGUAACGCGUGGGUAACCUGCCUCAUACAGGGGGAUAACAGUUAGAAAUGACUGCUAAUACCGCAUAAGACCACAGCACCGCAUGGUGCGGGGUAAAAACUCCGGUGGUAUGAGAUGGACCCGCGUCUGAUUAGCUAGUUGGUAAGGUAACGGCUUACCAAGGCGACGAUCAGUAGCCGACCUGAGAGGGUGACCGGCCACAUUGGGACUGAGACACGGCCCAA
rnacentral:rRNA from 1 species